rnacentral:rRNA from 1 species
GGUCAAUCGUUAUAUAGGACCACUGUGGUAAUUCUAGAGCUAAUACAUGCGUUAACACCGGACUUCUCGGAACGGUGGUAUUUAUUAGAUACAGAACCAACUCACCUCUGGUGAUUUUGGAUGAUUCAUGAUAAAUGAACGGAGCGUAUAGCUUGGGCUGACGCUGUGCCAUUCAAGUUUCUGACCUAUCAGCUAUCGACGGUAGGGUAUUGGCCUACCGUGGCAUUGACGGGUAACGGAGAAUUAGGGUUCGAUUCCGGAGAGGGAGCCCGAGAAACGGCUACCACAUCUAAGGAAGGCAGCAGGCGCGCAAAUUACCCAAUCUUGACACAGGGAGGUAGUGACAAGAAAUAACAAAGCAAGCCCUUAGGGGCGCUGCGUUGGAAUGAGUAGAAUUUAAAUCUCUUUACGACUAUCGAUUGGAGGGCAAGUCUGGUGCCAGCAGCCGCGGUAAUUCCAGCUCCAAUAGCGUAUAUUAAAGUUGUUGCGGUUAAAAAGCUCGUAGUUGGAUUUCUGUUGAGGUCGGGCGGUGUACACUUCGUGUAUUAUUUGCUUCGGUCUCGGCAUCCUCUUGGGGAACCGCAGGACUUCAUUGGACUGGCGAGAUUCAAGACUUUUACUUUGAGGAAAUUAGAGUGUUCACGGCAGGCAAGUGCUUUGAAUACAUUAGCAUGGAAUAAUAAUAUAGGACCUUCGUUCUAUUUUGUUGGUUUCUAGAACUUACGUAAUGAUUAAUAGGGACAAUUUGGGGGCAUUCGAAUUAACGC